rnacentral:rRNA from 1 species
UACGUAGGGGGCUAGCGUUGUCCGGAAUCAUUGGGCGUAAAGCGCGCGUAGGCGGUCCGGUAAGUCGGCUGUGAAAGUCAAGGGCUCAACCCUUGAAAGCCGGCCGAUACUGUCGGACUAGAGUCCGGAAGAGGCGAGUGGAAUUCCCGGUGUAGCGGUGAAAUGCGCAGAUAUCAGGAAGAACACCCGUGGCUAAGGCGGCUCUCUAGUACGGUACUGACGCUGAGACGCGAAAGCGUGGGGAGCGAACAGG